UGAGGAAUAUUGGUCAAUGGGCGGGAGCCUGAACCAGCCAAGCCGCGUGAGGGAUGAAGGCCCUAUGGGUCGUAAACCUCUUUUGUCAGGGAACAAAAGCGAGUAUGUAUACUAGUCUGAGUGUACCUGAAGAAAAAGCAUCGGCUAACUCCGUGCCAGCAGCCGCGGUAAUACGGAGGAUGCGAGCGUUAUCCGGAUUUAUCGGGUUUAAAGGGUGCGUAGGCGGCGAUGCAAGUCAGCGGUAAAAGCCCGGGGCUCAACCCCGGCGAGCCGUUGAAACUGCAGUGCUAGAGAAGGCGAGAGGUACGCGGAAUGCGCAGUGUAGCGGUGAAUGCUUAGAUAUUGCGCAGAACUCCGAUUGCGAAGGCAGCGUACUGGCGCCUGACUGACGCUGAGGCACGAAAGCGUGGGGAUCGAACAGGAUUAGAUACCC
rnacentral:rRNA from 1 species